rnacentral:rRNA from 1 species
GUGGUAAUUCUAGAGCUAAUACAUGCUGAAAACCUCGACUUCGGAAGGGGUGUAUUUAUUAGAUAAAAAGCCAAUGCCCUUCGGGGCUUUCUGGUGAUUCAUAAUAACUCAACGAAUCGCAUGGCCUUGCGCCGGCGAUGGUUCAUUCAAAUUUCUGCCCUAUCAACUUUCGAUUGUUGGGUAGUGGCCAACAAUGGUGUUUACGGGUAACGGGGAAUUAGGGUUCUAUUCCGGAGAGGGAGCCUGAGAAACGGCUACCACAUCCAAGGAAGGCAGCAGGCGCGCAAAUUAUCCAAUCCCGACACGGGGAGAUAGUGACAAUAAAUACUGAUCUGGGGGUCUUUAGGCUCUCAGAAUUGGAAUGAGAACAAUUUAAAUCCCUUAACGAGGAACAAUUGGAGGGCAAGUCUGGUGCCAGCAGCCGCGGUAAUUCCAGCUCCAAUAGCGUAUAUUAAAUUUGUUGCAGUUAAAAAGCUCGUCGUUGAAACUUGGAUCUGGUCGGUCGGUCCGCCUUAUCGCGUGCACUGAUUCGACCGGAUCUUUCCUUCUGGGGAAGCGCAUGCCCUUUAUUGGGCGUGUCGGGGAACCAGGACUUUUACUUUGAAAAAAUUAGAGUGUUCAAAGCAGGCCUAUGCUCGAAUACAUUAGCAUGGAAUAAUGGAAUAGGACGUGUGGUUCUAUUUUGUUGGUUUCUAGGACCGCCGUAAUGAUUAAUAGGGAUAGUCGGGGGCAUCAGUAUUCCGUUGUCAGAGGUGAAAUUCUUGGAUUUACGGAAGACUAACUACUGCGAAAGCAUUUGCCAAGGAUGUUUUCAUUAAUCAGUGAACGAAAGUUAGGGGAUCGAAGACGAUCAGAUACCGUCGUAGUCUUAACCAUAAACUAUGCCGACUAGGGAUCGGGCGGUGUUAUUAUUUUGACCCGCUCGGCACCUUACGAGAAAUCAAAGUUUUUGGGUUCUGGGGGGAGUAUGGUCGCAAGGCUGAAACUUAAAGAAAUUGACGGAAAGGCACCACCAGGAGUGGAGCCUGCGGCUUAAUUUGACUCAACACGGGGAAACUCACCAGGUCCAGACACAAUGAGGAUUGACAGAUUGAGAGCUCUUUCUUGAUUUUGUGGGUGGU